rnacentral:rRNA from 1 species
AACGAACGCUGGCGGCAGGCUUAACACAUGCAAGUCGAACGCCCCGCAAGGGGAGUGGCAGCCGGGUGAGUAACGCGUGGGAACAUACCCUUUCCUGCGGAAUAGCUCCGGGAAACUGGAAUUAAUACCGCAUACGCCCUACGGGGGAAAGAUUUAUCGGGGAAGGAUUGGCCCGCGUUGGAUUAGCUAGUUGGUGGGGUAAAGGCCUACCAAGGCGACGAUCCAUAGCUGGUCUGAGAGGAUGAUCAGCCACAUUGGGACUGAGACACGGCCCAAACUCCUACGGGAGGCAGCAGUGGGGAAUAUUGGACAAUGGGCGCAAGCCUGAUCCAGCCAUGCCGCGUGAGUGAUGAAGGCCUUAGGGUUGUAAAGCUCUUUCACCGAUGAAGAUAAUGACGGUAGUCGGUGAAGAAGCCCCGGCUAACUUCGUG